rnacentral:rRNA from 1 species
CAGUAGCCGCGGUAAUACGAAGGGGGCUAGCGUUGUUCGGAUUUACUGGGCGUAAAGGGCGCGUAGGCGGGCGAUUAAGUCAGAGGUGAAAUCCCAAGGCUCAACCUUGGAACUGCCUUUGAUACUGGUUGUCUUGAGUCCGGGAGAGGUGAGUGGAACUGCGAGUGUAGAGGUGAAAUUCGUGGAUAUUCGCAAGAACACCAGUGGCGAAGGCGGCUCACUGGCCCGGAACUGACGCUGAGGCGCGAAAGCGUGGGGAGCAAACAGGAUUAGAGACCCCCGUAGUCCCUGUCUCUUAUAC